GAUGAACGCUAGCGGCAGGCCUAACACAUGCAAGUCGAGGGGGAAGUUACUUUCGGGUAACUGAGACCGGCGUACGGGUGCGUAACGCGUAUACAAUCUGCCUUUCACUGGGGGAUAGCCCGAAGAAAUUUGGAUUAAUACCCCAUAGUAUAGUAGUGUGGCAUCACACAACUAUUAAAGCUUAGGUGGUGAAAGAUGAGUAUGCGUUCUAUUAGCUAGUUGGAGAGGUAACGGCUCCCCAAGGCUAUGAUAGAUAGGGGUUCUGAGAGGGAUGUCCCCCACACUGGUACUGAGAUACGGACCAGACUCCUACGGGAGGCAGCAGUGAGGAAUAUUGGACAAUGGUCGGAAGACUGAUCCAGCCAUGCCGCGUGCAGGAUGAAGGUCUUAUGGAUUGUAAACUGCUUUUGUAAGGGAAGAAUAAGGACUACGGGUAGUUUGAUGACGGUACCUUAUGAAUAAGCAUCGGCUAACUCCGUG
rnacentral:rRNA from 1 species